ACGGCCAUACCAUGCUGAAUAUACCGGUUCUCGUUAGAUCACCGAAGUCAAGCAUCAUCGGGCGCUGUCAGUAGAUUGGGUGGGUGACCACAUAUAAGCACCACGUGCCGUUG